CUUUGAUCCCACUGUGGAAAACAACUCGAUUACUCAUCAGGAAGAGUUCAGCUAUAGCAAGGAUCAACGGCAGAUAACUUUGGAAGAAAGGAAUAAGGAGCAACAGAGCCAAUCAGAAGCAAGAGGACAAAGUUAAUUACUACUUGAAGCCUGGUAGUCUUGUAAAGGUUUGGUUUUUGUCUUAAAAACCAGUCAUAAGGUGAGCUUUUUUGUUUUAUUUGCAUAUAUUUCUGUUUCCCUCUCCCUGCCCUUUCUAACCAUUACUAACCUGCACUUUCCUUAUACAGUUGUUUGUGUCCUUUCCCCAGAAAUGUAUUUGUUAUGUCUUUUUUUUUUUGGUGAUUUAUAAAUUGAUAUAUAUUAUCAUCUGUCAUUGUUUCUGAAAUGUACUAAUUUUGUGUCAGUUUCCAUCUUCAACAGGUUCUCGGUAGAGGAAUGGACAGCUAGUUGCCGACUACAAAUCAAAGACAAGAGCAUUGAGAGGAUCAAGGAUACUGGGUAUAUAUCCACCAAGCCUACAGGCCAUUACUGGCCAAAAUGAAUAAUGGUAAGGGAAGCCUUGAUCCUAUGGUGGAGAAAUAAUUCCAUUACUCGAUCAUCAACAGAAAUCUUAUGUAGCAGGGAUCAACUGCAGCCAGCCAUGGAAGAAAAGUGAGGAAGCAGCAUAAUAACGAAGCUGGCUGUACGAGCAAUGAGCCCGGUUAAUUAGAAAUAGUGCAUCACCUGCCAGCAAGAGUACAUAAAGCUAGAAUUAACUGUUGCCAACCCAGCAGUUGAAGAAGGAGGGAUUGGCUUGCAUUGACCCAUCAGUAAAGAGGAAUCUUCUCGUAACUGAGGCCAACUUAACAUGAUGUGGAUGAUUGUUGAGCAGCAGAGCCAAUCAUAAGCAAGAGAACAUGGAAUGACUGGAAGUCUGGAAAAGGUUUGGUUUUUGUAUUAAAAACCUGACAUAAGGUGAGCUUUUUUUUUCCUUUACAUAUUUCUGUAUUUUGUCUUUCCUACCCCAUCUAACAUUACUAACCCUUUUGCACUUUCCCUUUAAAAUUGUUCGUGUCCCUUUCCUUAAUAUGUGUCAUAAUUUUCUGAUUUAUGCAUUUAAAAGUAUUAUCUUCUGUUAUUUUUCAUCAAUUGUUUUGGAAAUGUACUAAUCUUUUGUCAGUUUCUAUAUUUGACAGGGUUUCCGUGGAGGGAUGGACAGAUGGUGGAUGGAAACUAACUGAAGAGGAGACCAUUGCAAGGAUCCAGGAUACAGGGUAUCCACAAAUCUACAGCUACAGGCCAUCAUUGGUCAAAAAGAAGCAUGGUUAUCAAGUUUUAUCCCACCUUGGAGCAGCAACCCCCAUUAUUCAUCAAGAGAAAUCUAGAGAGCUAGGAUCAGCUGCUGCCAAUCAUAGAAGAAAGGAUACAGUGACAGACAGUCCCCUAUCUGCAGAUUAGGAAGAGUGUAUCACCGACUGCGACCAGCCCUGCAGAUGAAUUAUUAGGCAGUGUGUUGACAAGCCUCCACCCAAUGUUCAAGUCAAGAUACGUGUUUUAGAGGAGGAGUUUAAGACUACUGAUUGACUGCUGCUUAAACUAGAAGCAGAUGGUUAAGGUGACCUGAAUUCCAUGUUCAAGAGCCUACAGACUGUCAUACAAUAACCAGAGGUUAAGGAUAGAACAGGUGCCUAACCUAAAAAGCUCCAUCCUAAGUCUUGGGAGAGCCUGAUAGACGGAAGAAGAGUCUGGACAGGAGAGACUGACUGCAGCUUAAGCCCUUCAGUGAAGACAAAUGCCUAAUGAUAUGGAUCGACUUUCCGUAAAGGAUACAGCAAGGAAGGACAUGGUCAAAGAUUCGGAAGAUAGGACAUUACAUCAUGAACUAUUACAUAUGUAUGUGUGUGUGUUUUGUUGUUGUUGUUAUGUUGUUUUUGUUCAGGAUAGAUCAUUGUAAAUUCUGUUGUCACAAACCUAGCUGAUAACAGUGUGUUAGUCCUGCUUCAUAUUCUGUUAUUAUGAUUGCUAUAUGAUGUCAUAGUUUUUUUGAUCCGCCUGUCUCAUCUCUCUGGUAGCUUAUUUCCUGGUUUUAGAGCAGUCUCAGAAGACAUAGAAAUUUUAAACAUUCAUAUUGAAAUUAAUUAAAGCCCUUGAGGUACCCUUUAGGUAGGUCACAAUGACUUGCCUCAUUAAGGACAAAUUAAAACCAGUAUCCAUGACAUUCAGAGUGUCUUUAUCCCCCAUCAAAUGUUUGAUAUGCUCAUAUGUUGUGCUGCAUUUAAGAGAAUUUCAUUUGGGGUAAAGCUAAAAGUUUAAUGGUAUUUUUGUUAAGGUUAAACUGGGUGCUAAAACAAGUAGCAUUUUGUAUCCUUGAUAAAAGUGUGCCUGGUCUGAUUAACAGUCAGUUUUGAACACUAUAGUGUUCAUGGUGUGGACAUGCACCUUGAGUGCUUAUAUGCAGAUUUGAAUCUGCACUUAUGUCCUGAUUUUGUAUAUAUUAUGUCUGUUGGGACAACUCUGAUUGAUUCUUUUCCUGUGGCUUUGUGCCAUAUUCUGAUGUUUGUUAAAAAAUUCCAACAUAUUUCUUAAUUGCCUUUUGCCAGUUUCCACUAUGGAAUUUAUGAUUGUGCAACAGAAUUUGAAAUUUUGCCAGUGAGGUGACUUAUUUAUGUGCUGAAAUUUUCCUGGAUACUAAAACGGUGUGUGCCUAUUUUGGAAUUUGACUGUGUUCUUGAAAAUUUAUAGCUAGCAUAAAUAAGCUGCCUUUCUGACAUGAUUUCCUGUAUUCCCAUUUAUAAUGUAUUAAAAUUGAGGGGCAUGACAUACCUCUUAAGUAGGUCACAAUGACCUUAUUUUAGUAUAAGCUGAACUUGCUUUUUUGCUUUUCCAGUUUUGAUUAUAGCAUUAAGUACACUGUGAUGCCUAAAAUAUAGAUUGAGCCCAAGUUUAGGUCACGUUGACCUUGAGACACGUAUCUUAAAAGGUUCUCCAAUUUGAUGUGUUAUUGGGAUAACUUAACCUUAAUAUGUUAAUCAAGUAACCUUGAUAUGUUAAGUCAGGAAACUUAAUCAUGGUAUGUAAAUCAGAUAACUUCACUUAACCUUGGUAUGUUAAACAGGUUUAACUUAACCUUGACAUUUUAAUCCGGCUUAGAAUUUUCAAUUCUGUCUACUGAUGUGUGUAGGAUGCUGAAGGAUGAUAUUGCAUUAUAUAUAUCUAUUUAAAUCAGAUGACUUUCCUCAUUUUAGAAUUAUAUAACCUUGCUUAUUUCCUUUCCCAUUUUGGAUUGUAUCAUUUCCAUUGUUAUACUUAAGAUAUUGGAACCUUUCGCUUAAUGCAACUUAAUUUAUAGAUCAUAAUUUAGUGCUGGUACAGAUACCAUUUCAUAUUCCUGAUGAAAAUAUGCCUGAUCUGGAUAAUGUCCUAAGUGAACAUCUAUAAUGUUCAUAUUUGGUGUUUGUGCUUAUCUUGUGCUUAUAAGCAAGCUAUUUGGAAUUCUGUCUUGAAAGUAUGCCCCGAUUAGGUUCUACUUUUGAUAGGAUAGUUCUUUAUUUGCUCUGGCUUUGUGUCAUAUUAUUAAGUUUGUGGAGUUUGUUAAACAAAGCAUUUCCAUUAGAUCCCAUGAUUGUCAGUUUCCACUAUGAAAACUGUGAAUAUGCAAGAGUUUAAAACUUGUGCCAGGGAGGUGACAUAUUUAUGCACUGAAAUUUUCUUGGAUGCUAAAACGGUGUGUGCCUAUAUUUUUGUGGAUUUGAUUGUGUUCUUGAAAAUUUUUAGUUGGUGAAUAUGCUGCCUUUCUGACACGGUUCUGACUCCCCGUAAAUUAUACAGACUUUUGUAAAUUAUACAGACUUAAAAUUGAAGCACUUAAUGGAACACAGCUCUAUGUAGGUCACAGUGACCUACGUUAUUUGGAAUUGGCUAAUUUGUGCUGUUUGCUUAUAUCAUUUCGCCUGUAAGUUACUGUAUUGAAUCUUGUCUUUUGAAGCAUUUUCAGGAAAGUGUGUGGAAAAAAAAACCUUAUUUAUAGAUCACAAUGACCUGUGUAUUAUAUCAUUGAAAAUUGAUAAUCAUGACAUGAAGUCCUUAAGAGAUUUUGAACGUUAUAUGUCAUUGGAUGACAAUUCUGUUUUAGGACAAUGUGUUGCAAAACACCUUCUCCAUUUUUGGAAUUUGCUAACCUUGGUUUUGUUUUCAUUUCAACAACUUACAAUUCACUGUAAUUUAAUCCUACAGGAUAUAAUUUACUUUGUCACUUGAUGUUUAGGACAUUGUGAUUUCCAGCCUUAUUGUAGGUCACUAUGACCUCCAAAAAUAUACAUAUAUAUGAUGCACAUCACUGGAAGAUAGAUAACACCAAAGAUCAUUAUUUUUAUUUAUCACAUUUACUUAUAAAACAAUAUUUGAAGAAUUUGUAUUCAGGUAGGGUAGUGGUGAGCGCACUCAUUUCUGACCAAUGCUACCCAAUUGGGGGAUAGAGAAGGGUGGUACAUGGGGGACUUUAUAGGAUGGGUUUGUCUGGACCAUGGGUUCUCUAGGUAUAGCUCUAGCUUCCUCCCACAUUCAACACCAGCUUGUUUCUUCAUCUGUCAGUUUAAAAUAUCAACUACCUGUUUAGUGUUUGAUGUGUGCAUUUACUCACUGUGAGUGAAAUUUCAUUUUCUUGGGUAUUCAUUGUAUUUGAGUAGGGUUAAGAGUUUGAUUAUAGUAGUUCUAUGAUUAUAUGAUAGGUAUUUCAAACUUCAUGCACUUCAUUGCUAAUACAGACACCAUUAAUUGUGUACUUAUACUGAUAGAAGUUUACCUGAUAAGGGGAGCUAUCCGGGCAUCUGAAUAUCUUGUAUGUUCAUCUUUGCUUUCAACUUGCACAUCUGGUGCUUACAUGUACACUGUAAUUUUUUGCAGUUGAAACUUAUUGUCCCUAUUCAUAGUAUCCAUUGUGUUAGCUAGGAUAUCAGAUUUAAUUGCUCGAUCUGGCUUUGUGCUAUAUUCUAGUGUUUGUUGAUUACAGCAAUUAUCCAUCAGAUUUCUUAAUUGCCAGUUUCCAUCAUGGAGACUUUGAGUGUGCAAAAGAAUUUAAAACUUGUGCCAGGGAGGUGACAUAUUUAUGCACUGAAAUUUUCUUGAAUGCUAAAACGGUGUGUGCAUAUUUUGGAAUUUGAUUGUGUUCUUGAAAAUUUUUAGUUAGUAUAAAUAUGAUGCCUUUCUGUCAUGGGUUAUGGCUCCCCAUUCAUUGAUUAAAAUUGAGGGGCUUAUACAUCCCUUAAGUAGGUCACCAUGACCUUGAAAUAAAAUUGGCCAACAUUAAUGCUGCUCUUUGCUUUGAUCAUUUACACUGUGAGGCCUAAGAUAUUUGACCUUGUGACUAGAUGCAUCUUUGGGGACCAUGCAAAGGUCACAGUGACCUCUAGAUCUUGAAAUGAAUGCCUCAUAAUUGGUAUUGAUUCUGUUUAAAGACUUAUCUAUUAAUUUGAAAGUUGAAAUGAAGAAUUUACAAUGGUUUUCUCCACUUCGUUUUUCUUAAAUCUUGAUAUGUUUCUAUACACCUCCCAUCAUUUAAAUAGAUGUAGGAUAUUUAAAAGCAUUUUUCACUCCUUAUUAAGGUGACCUACCUUAUUUCCCAAGAAUUCACCAAUUAUAACCUUGCCUUAAAUAUAUAAUAUAGGAAACUUAAAAUUGCAUAAGUAAUAUUUUUAUGUUAUUUUGUGUUACACAUUGUAAUUGACUAGUUGCAUUGUUCUGUAUUUUCGCAGCCUUUACUUAUGUGUUUUGCAUGCAUAUAUAUUAUAAUGGAAAAGGUUUCCAGAGUUUUUUCUUCCAUAAAAAACUUUUAAGUUUUUUAUCUCUGGUUUUAACCCUGGCCAUUAUAAUAUGCUCCCAAAAAUACAUGUGUUUGUUAACCUUGCAUUUGUCACAGACUUUUUUUUACACCAAGGAGAUGAUAUUUAUCUUUAGUUUAACUGGGUGUCAAGGCUAGGAAGUAUAGUUAUAACUCUGUGAAUUUGUACAAACUAUUUAUUGUUGUCUUUGCUCUGUUUGUGUGAUAUUGAUGUACGUGUGGAAUUAUUUUAUUUAACAGUUUAUUAUAUUGUAUGUAUUAAAGCUUAAAUUAGUAUGUGGAUGCUGCAUAUUGUUUUACUUUGCUUCAUGUGUUGGCAGGUAUUAAUACAUCUUAAAUGCCAUAGAAGUACAUGCACUUAUUGAGAAAGGAUUUAGGUAAUUUAAGGUAUAAUGAGUGAUACCUAAUUUUAGUUAUCUUGCACACAUUUUGCAAUAGUCAAAUAUGCUGAUGAGGCAGUAUCUGGUCAAUACAGAGCUUAUUUCUCACUGUAGUGAUCAUGGCUGAUUUUAAAAGAGUAUCAUACACAGUUGAUCAAGAAGUAUGCAAGCUAUAAACUUGCACAAAAUUAUACUGCACCUUUGGGUAUUUGGUGCUCGACUUAAAUGCUCUAUUAUUACAAUUAAUGCUAGCUUUAGACAGAGUUUAGGAAUGUCUUGUAAAUGGUAUCUGUGAACCAAACUUGAUUUACUAUUAUGUAUCAUUGGGUGCAUGUAAUAUUCUACAUACAUUUAUUCUUAAGCGACUGUUUAAGGGUUAAAGAGCUCAGUUACAGGUGAUAACCAACAAAGCUACACUCUUAGAUUCACCUGUGGAUUCUUAGACUGAUGCUCAAAUAUUGAUUCAGUGAAUGAAACCUUUAUAAUGAUCAGAGUCUCUGGUAAUUGACAUUUUCAUUGUUUUCAUUGCAACCAAACUUGCACAACUCGUAUAUAUGAGAAGGAUUUGCUUUAGUGCAGGAGUUAAAACUUGUUAUAAAGGUCCAUGUAAACCAUUAAGAUAAAAAUUUAUUAAUUCAGAAUGUAGUUAAUCUGAUGCUGUCGAACUUGAAUUAUGUAAUGUGAUAAA